UACAGAGGUCUCAAGCGUUGUUCGGAUUCAUUGGGCGUAAAGGGUGCGUAGGCGGCGCGGUAAGUCGGAUGUGAAAUCUCGGAGCUUAACUUCGAAACUGCAUUCGAUACUGCCGUGCUUGAGGACUGGAGAGGAGACUGGAAUUUACGGUGUAGCGGUGAAAUGCGUAGAUAUCGUAAGGAAGACCAGUGGCGAAGGCGGGGUCUCUGGACAGUUCCUGACGCUGAGGCACGAAGGCCAGGGGAGCAAACGGG
rnacentral:rRNA from 1 species